GGACAAAACCUUGAAAGGGAAAAAGAGUACAACGCGUAUUUGCUCCCCCUAAUGAGAACAUCCUUGAACUUUUGCCUCCCGAUCUUGUGCAGCAUCUUCUUGAAAGUUGCAAUUGGAGAAGAUUUGGUGAAUAAAUCAGUCACAUUGUCAGUUGAACGAAUCUAUUGCACGUUAAUAUCAUCAUUCUUUUGUAACUCAUGUAUGUAGAAAAGCUUUGACAAAAUGUGCUUCGUUCUAUCUCCAUUUAUGAAUCCUCCCUUAAGAUGUGCUAUGUAUGCUGAAUUAUCUCUGUAUAAAAUUGUGGGU
rnacentral:lncRNA from 1 species